ACUGCGCCACCAGGGAAGCCCCCACCCCAUUAUUAACUUUCUUUUGAUCACAUACGAAAUAAUUACAUAUGUAUUUGGAUCACUGUCUGGACUUUCUCACUUCAAUCUACCUGUUUUUGUCAGAACCGAAAUGUUUGUUUUAGAAGUCUGAAUACUGGCAGUAUGGAGUUCAAUAUUCCACAAUAUUUUCUAGGCUGUUCUCGCUCGUUCAUUCUUUCAGUUAACUUGUGGAUCAUUUUAUUAAGUCUCUCCUCCACGUCCCAAUUAAAUUUCAGGUUUGGCUCGAAAUUGUAUUAAACGGAUGACUUCUUUGAGGUUGUAUUAGUUAUGCAUUGCUGCAUGACAGCACAUAUACAUCGCACACUCUUUCUGAGGGUCAAGAAUCUAGGAACAGCUUGGCUGGGGGAUUCUGGCUCAGGGUCUCUCAUGAGGUUGCACUGAAACUGCCGGCUGGGGCCGCAGUCUCCCCUGACCAGGUCCUGUGCCAACCGCACUCACGUAACUGUUGGCAGGAGGCUUCAGUUCCUUGACAUAGGGGUCUCAUGACAUGGUCUCCCCAGAGUGAAUGACGAGAGAAAGAGAGAGAGAGGGGGGAAGAGAGAGAGGGAGAGAGAGAAACCGAGGGGGAAGCAGAAAAGUCUUUGAUAACCUAAUCUCAGAAGUGACAGAUCAUCACUUCUGGCGUAUCUUAUUGAUCACACAGACCAACCCGGAUAUGCGUGAGAGGGGCCACGCCAGGUCACAGCUGCCAGGUGGCGGGGAUCAUCGGGAACCAUCUUGGAGGCUAAGUAACACAGAGGCGAACUGAACAUGUUAUGGUAAUAGGUCUUCCUGACUGUGAAUGUGGUGUGUCUCUAUAUCAGCUUAAAUCUUAGGUAUGCUCUCAAUGAGGAUUUUUACUUUUCUUCAUAUAGGUCCCCCACAAUAUUUAUCACCAGAGUUUUAUAUCUGGUUCCUAUUGUGAACGGGAUCUCUUUCACAUUGUAUUUUCUAAGUAGUUGUUGCACUCAAACAGGGACACUAUUGCUUUUUAUGGCCAUGAUUCUUCCGUGGAGCUUAACGGGUGACAAAGCAGAAAUUCCUCUAGACUUUCACUGAGCCCUUGGAUCGCAAAACGGAGACCAGGUAAGAUCCUAAAUGUGCUCUUGGGACCAGCUUCCUCAAGUGACUGUGUGCCAGGGAGGCGGGGGGAACGUAAGGACGGCCUUCCUGCAGCCUAUCUUUUCGCGGUGCCUGUGCUCCAGGCUGCCUGAGGCCGAGGUGACAGGGUCCUCUGGCCAAUACGUGACCUAACUUCGAGGGAGCCCUGUGGUCAGGGCAUGGGGGGACAGCCGGGGAGGCGACCUGUGGCAGGGCCAGUCCACCUAAUGCUCCACAGACUUAGCCCAUCUGCCCACGACUUCCAGGUACGAGUCUCCAGCAACCUCUCUCCAGAGCCCUAUUCCGGAUGCCUCCCCAGCAUUUGCACAGGCUCUGGUCAACUCCGGUAUGAACGUUCCUUCAUCCGUUCUUGUUUCCAGUAGCUACAGUAUUUAUCCAGCACCUGCUGCAUGCCAGACAGUACUCUUGAGGACAUCAGCAAAGCACCUGCCCUUGCGGUGCUUGUUACAAGUCGGGAGAGAGAGACAAAACCAAACAAACUGUGAAUGGUAUUUUACAAAGUGAGUGAUACGGGAAGAAAUAGAGCCGAAUAAUGGGGGAUCAGGACAAUGGAGGAGUUAAAAGUUUGAGCAAAGACUUGAAGGGGGUGAAUGAGCUAGCCGGGUUCUGGGCAGACGGACAGCCAACACAAGGAAGCGGGAGUGGUGGCGCCAGGGGCUAUCUGAGGGGGUGGAAGGCAGAUCCUGUGAGCCUUGGGCUUCUCUGAGUAAAAUGGGAGCCACUGUAGGGUUUUGAGCAGAGGAGUAACAUGAUCUAAGUUUUAAAAUGAUUUUUGAUGGAAGCAGAGACACCUGAUAGGAGGCUCUGGGAGGAGGAAAUGUCCCCCAGUUCUGCCCUCUUGGUACCCACUGGCAAUGCCACUACAGUCCUCAUCACCUCCCUCCUAGACUCUGGCCAGACUCUGCUGACUCUUCUCCCCACCUCCUGCUCCCCUGUCUCAGAGAAAUGUCUCCAAGUCCUUCUCCAGUUUAGGAACUCUGGCAACAUGAACGGUUUAUCCCUGCCAACGCUGUAGCCUCCCAGGCUACGGAGGUCUGGCUUUGUCUGCAUGUCCCUCUCUGGGGGUGGGUGCCAGUGUGGACGAGGCUGUGCACAUCCUGCCCCACGAGUACUGAACUCCAGAGGCCAAUUUUCUUGGGUCACGUUUUAGAACUUCUGAAAUACAUUUAUUUCAGCCACGUGAAUUAUGUAUCUUAGUCACUGCAUAAAGCAAUACAGAAUUGUCUAAAGUGGGCUUCCUCCCCCUUCCAAGAAGAAAGAAACCAUGUGUGUGUUCUUCCAUAUUUUUUCCUUUGCCCAUACAAAAAUAAUCAAACAGAAUUUAAAAAAUGGAUUACACCGUGCACAAUAUUCUGCGUGUCGCCUUUUCAUUUUCCUGCCCUGGACAUUUUCCCCGGCCAAAGCAGACAGAUGGACUUCAUUCUCUGUGACAUAUGUUAGUGUUCCUCCCCAGGGGCCCUCCCCGCCCCACCCCACUGAGGGACAUUCAGGUGGUUUCCAGUCACUUUCAUAACAACAUUGCGUGCGUGUACCCCGCCCCCAGAGGGAACUGCUUUAGCAUACAAAGUUAAACACAUCACAUCGGCCAAUAAAAAAUGAAAACAAAAUAAAACCAGUUGGAAGGCGGCAGAAAAGCGUGUGUGAAUACCCCGGGGCCCCUCAUCUCGUUCGUUUGCAGUCGCCGGAAGCUGCCUGGGCAGGAACCGCCGCGGGCUCCUUUGGUCUGCGCGCCUCCCGGGCCGGGGUCCGGGCCCUGGACGGCCAUCGUGUACCCGCCGCACCGCCGGUCCUCCCGCACCCAGAUCCCGGCGCAUCCCGGCGGGCGUAGCCGACCUUGUGCUGCUCCCGGCGCCCGGCUCUCCCACGUGCUGCCGCUCCCGCUCGGAUCGGCCGCCAGGGGGUGCCACAGGCCGGGCUGAGCGGCCUCCUCCGCCGCGGGAGGGCGACGGGCGGGAGGACGCCAGCCCAGAGGUGGCGCCGAUCAGGGCCAGGCAGCUCCCACCGGCGCCGGCCCUAGAGCGUCUUUCCGGAAACCGGAUCCAGCCCGCGCCCCGGCUGCGCUGCGCACUCGGCCUCCUGCCCCACUGACCUGGGAUUACCAGGGAGCGCUCCGCCGGCUGCGGCACAAAACGGGCAGCUAGCGGGGCCCUUCCCAGCCGGCCGCCACCCACCCUCUCUCAACGGUGUCACCACCGCAAGGAUGACACCUUCACCGCUCAGCCAGAGGACUGGACCUCACACCCACAGCAGUCGUCCCAUCCCUACGGCCCCGUACUGUGCUGUCUCUCCCCUCUUCUUGUAGGCAUCUGGUGGACCCAGAAAGUAAGAAGCUGCCCGCGGGAAGCUAGACUCCCUUCGUGCCGUUCGUGCCCUUCCUCCCCUUGUUUCCUCUCUGGACGCCGGGCUCCCACCCAGCCACAGUUAGGACAAGGGAGAUUAGAGCUGUGCCGGAGGCUCGGAUGGCCUCAGUCUAAGAAACUGAGCGAGCCGGGACGCCGAGCCCUGAAAGGUCUUCGGUGGGGAGGAGAGAGAAGAGGGCGGGUGGGGUCCAGGGCCACAGCGCUGCAUGGCAAGAGCCUCUGUGUGGAGUCUCCAAGGUCUGGGUCACCCGGGGACAAGCCAGCCAGACCUGGGGGAGGGGCAGCCUGGCCCUCCGCACUUUUUGUGACCCCGUGGGAUUAAAGCUCAUCUGAACCCGCUUAAUCCUUACUGUUGUGGGUCUACCUUGCAGGAGAAGACCGCCCACUCACACCCGGGUUCCAUCAGUUUUGGGUGCCUGAUCCACCUUUAGUCCUCAUGGGGAGGGAAGGGGACAUGAAGGUCACCAGCCCAACUAGGCCACAGUGCUACAAACCAUCAAAAGAUUCACAGUACCCAGUGGUUGUCAUAUUUGAAAGUUGGAUGGAGUCCCAGGGUGGGUAGCCAUAGGCAAGUUGCUUACCUUCUCUGAACCCCAGUUUGAAUACAGGGUCAGCUGGGAGUAGCUCUGAGCAGCUGGUAGGGUGAACUUUGGGUCUCAGCACGAGCAGCGCCUGCCCAUCCUCACGGCCAAAGACAGGUGGGCUCCCUCCAAGCAGAAAGCAACAUCCUGCUCUGUCCAGGGUGCUUCGCAUUCAGGGCAUGGAGACGACAGAGAAGACACACUUGCAUUCUUUGUUUGUGAUUAUCUCCAGGUACUUGCAAACAACAAAAAGAUAAGCAACAACGAAAAUUGACCCCAAAUUGAGGGUUAAUCUGUCAGCACACACAUAGCCUUAGAACCUCAUUAUAGGGAGAAGGCAGAGGAUGUCUGCCUCCUUCAUGUCCUUGAAUUCCAUGAUCAAGCCCCUCGGGCGGCCCUACUGGUUCUAUUUUGCUUUCUUCCUUGGCUGCAACGCAGAAAGAAGGAAAGCUCUUUUCUCCUCCAAGGCCGAGUGUUAGAAGCAUUACCUCAGUAGCCCAACGUCCUGGAAAAGAGGAAGCUUGGCAAUGAUGGAGCAGGUAGAGCGAGAGGCCAGGCAGCCUAGAAGCUCCUGGCUGGCUCCUCUGGCCUGUUUGACGUUGGCUCAAAAGACAUGGAAUUAAUAGGCAAAGCUGCCUCCUCCUCCUCCUCUUACCUGUGGAGGAGAGAUCGGUUCCCGGUUGGCUGGGGCAGUGUCAUUGAUAUAGCUGGUGUCAUCGUUACCUUCCAUGAACAGAUCACUCGACACCUGCCAGGGCCAGGAAGGGCCGGGCCUGGGUUUUGCCCGCAGAGCUGGAGGCUUUCACUCUCCCAUUGUCCCAGAGCCCAGGGGAGGUCAAGACACAGGCUCUGCUGGGAUGUGGCUCUUGGUGACCCAGUAGAAGGACUGGACAGCUCCUGGUGCUGGAUCCCCCUUGCAGGUCCUGGCUGCCUCUUGGCUUCCUGCUGCCUGAUCCCUGUGGCUGUCCUGGGCAGAGGAGAUGAAUUCGUGGCUGGCCGGGAGCUGAGGCCGAGCAAUGGUGCUGCACAGAGAAGUGGCUCUGGGAGUGACCCUGGCGUGAGGAGCCAGGGGCGAGGAGCGGCCUGGGGUGUCCCUCCCGGCGUGUGCAUCCCAGGUGACACCAUGCUGCAGCAGAUCCUGCACGACAUGUACAUCGACCCCGAGCUCCUGGCCGAGCUCAGUGAUGUGCAGAAGCACAUCCUCUUCUACAAGAUGCGAGAGGAGCAGCUGAGACGCUGGAGGGAGCGUGAGGCUUGGGAGGCCCUGGCCCAGUUCGAGGGACUCAGGCCCCCCAAGGUCAAGCGAGCGAGUGACAAGCACAUCCAGUGGCUCCUGGGGGCAGAUGGCGAAGUCUGGGUCUGGGUCAUGGGAGAAGGCCCUGGAGACAAGCCCUAUGAAGAGAUCUCUGAGGAGCUGAUUGCAGAGAGGGCGCGGCUGCAGGCACAGAGGGAGGCGGAGGAGCUCUGGAGACAGAAGGAGGCAGAGAUCACCAAGAAGUUCCGGGAUGCUCUGGCCAAUGAGAAAGCCCGGAUCCUGGUGGAGAAGUGGAAAGUGGAGACGGAGGACCGCAAGGCUGCCAAAAUCCUGGAGGAGCGCAUCCAUGAGGAAUUCAAGAGGAAAGAGGAAGAGGAGAGGAAGCGAGGAGAAGAGCAGAUUCGCCUCCAGGAAGAGCAGAGGGCGAAGGAACUCUACUGGACCCUGAAGCAGGCCCAGCUGCAGAGCCACCCCAGUGAGAAAGAGGAACGCGAGUGGGAAGAACAGCUGCGUCGGUCCAAGGCGGCUGAUGAGGAGAGAAGGCGCCGAGCCCAGCGCGCCCGGGACGAGUACCGGCGCCACUCCCUCCGCGCCAUCCAGAAGGGCACGGUCGCUGGCCUCAGCUCCAGGUUCCGAGAGCUCGGCCAGAGCCACGAGCAGGAGGCGAGACUCUCCCACCACCUCCUGGGCCCGGGGCCGCCUUCACCCCUGGCUGUGCCUGGCAGCAGGACUUGGGAGCGGCCCCUGUGUCCCGUCUCCAGAGAAGUCAUAGUGCGCUGGUUUAAGGAGGAGCAGCUGCCUCGCCGCGCGGGCUUUGAGAGGAGCACCAAAGCCAUCGCCCCCUGGUUCCACGCACUUGCUGUCCUCUGCAUGAGAUAACUUGGUGUAGAGCAAAGAGCACUGGACUUGGAGUCCGAGGACUUGAGUUCAAAUUCUGGCUCCACCACUUAAUAGCUCUGUGACCUUGGGAAUUAUCAGCCGAGAAGAUGCUGAAGAUCUCCUUGAGAAUAUGACUGAGGGCGCAUUUCUGGUCCGGGUCAGUGAGAAAAUCUGGGGUUACACCCUCUCCUACCGCCUGCAG